rnacentral:rRNA from 1 species
UACAGAGGUCUCGAGCGUUAGGCGGAAUCACUGGGCUUAAAGCGUGUGUAGGCGGAUCGGUAAGUACCUUGUGAAAUCCCACAGCUUAACUGUGGAACUGCUUGGUAUACUGCCAGUCUUGAGCCAGCUAGAGGCUACCGGAACAAAUGGUGGAGCGGUGAAAUGCGUAGAUAUCAUUUGGAACGCCAAUGGUGAAAACAGGUAGCUGGGGCUGUGCUGACGCUGAGACACGAAAGCCAGGGGAGCAAACGGG